AGAACAAUAACUAAAGCAUAGAAGGAAGGCUAAAAUAAGAAUUCAGAAACUAUAAACCGGCUCUCUUCUAGCUUACGACACAAACUAUGAGUGAGAAAAGGACAAAUGAUUCGCUCUUUGCUUCAUUUUUUCCGAGGUUGUCACAACAUGAAAUGUCAUUUGGACCUAUUGGACUCAUUUUAACUCGGCCAAAUACAUAGUAACAUACAUAAGAAGAUUUUACUUAUAUUUACCGAACUAUUUGACACGGUCGCGUCAACUGUGUUUACGAGUGUCUUGUGUUCAGAUUGUUUUAAGUGAUAAUUUAACAAUAUUUUUCCAAAUAAAUGGAAAGAAACUUUUAUUUAUAUCAAAUAAUUGAGUGUCUCGACUGUGUGACAUUAUGUCUUGUGUGGUAUGGGGCUGCAGCUCACAUUCAGGAAGAAAAGAAAAUAGCCAACAACUUCUGUCGUUUCAUCGAUAUUAAAUCCAAAAGUGUCGACUGGAUUUACAUGAAAAGUCAGUUCAAGAAGACGAGAUGAAAAAUUUAAAAGAAAAGCUGAACAAGUCCCGCCUCAAGAUCAAACGACUUAAUGAAAAAAAAAAAAACAAUGUGACAGGGUGUCACAAAGACAGUUUCUAAGCAAAUUGACACUGUUUAGAAAUUAAUAAAUUUGUAUUUAUUGUAAAUAUAAUGUACAUAAUUAAUAACGUGUGAAAUAAAUACUUGCUAAUGAACAGAUUUACGAUCUAAUUUAUAUUUCAUUUUACCUCCUUUUCUUAUUUACUCCUACUCCAACACUCCAGGUUGAUACGAACUGCGCCCAAUAAAGAAUGUAAUGAAUGUUAUAGAUUUGUGUAAGCGACUUAGAUAAAUCUUGACUAAACCUUCCUUUACAAAUACAAAUAUACUUUAUUGCACACAACAUACAAUACUUACAAGUUUUGCACGAAAGAUACAGUACACCACCUACCUACCUUUUA